GGACAAAAAUAUAGGCAAUAGAAAUUUUUACCCUGGGGCGAUAGACAUAGUACCGUAAGGGAAAGAUGAAAGAACUGUAUCAAGCAUUAAAAAACAAAGCAAAACCCAUAUACCUUCUGCAUAAUGUAUUAACUAGAAAAUAACUUUACACGGAGAACUAUAGCCAAGUGUCCCAAAACCAGAUGAACUACCCAAGAACAGCUGAAAGAGCAGACUCACCUAUGUGGCAAAAUAGUAAGAAGAUUCAUGAGUAGCGGUGAUAGCUGGUUGUCCAAGAUGGAAUUUUAGUUCAAUUUUAAAUUUACCCACAGAAUUACUUAAUCUUCCUGUAGGUUUAACUGAGUCUAAAAAGAGGGACAGCUCUUUAGACAUUAGGAAACAACCUUCCUACAGAGAGUAAAAAAUAUUACCACCAUCAUUGGCCCAAAAGCAGCCACCAGUUAAGAAAGUGUUUAAGCUCAACAUCUAACUCUCUUAAAUUCUAAUCACUCUACUGAACCCCUAACAUCACAUUGGUCUAAUCUAUUACUUAAUAGAAGCAAUAAUGUUAACAUAAGUAAUAUGAAGAUAUUCUCCAUUGCAUAAGCUUACAUCAGACUGGAAUAAUCCACUGACAGUUAGCAGCAUAACAUUAAUAAACAAUAUAAUAAGCACCCUAUUGUUUACACUGUUAACCAACACAGGUAUGCUCUAAGGAAAAAUUACAAAAAGUAGAAGGAACUUGGCAAAUCUUAUUCUGUCUAUUUACCAAAAACAUCACCUCUAGCAUUACCAGUAUUAGAGGCACUGCCUGUCCAGUGACAUACGUUCAAUGGCCGCAGUAUCCUGACUGUGCAAAGGUAGCAUAAUCACUUGUUCCCUAAAUAGGGACUUAUAUGAAUGGCCACAUAAGGGUUCAGCUGUCUCUUACUUUUAAUCAGUGAAAUUGACCUAUCCAUGAAGAGGCAGAUAUAAACAAAUAAGACAAGAAGACCCUAUGGAGGUUUAAUUCAUUAAUACAAGUAAAACUCAAGCCUACAGGCCCUAGCCUACUCCCCCUGCAUUAAAAAUUUUGGUUGAGGUGACCUCAGGGCAUAAUCCAACCUCUGAACAACCUAAACUAAGACCGCAUUACUCUAAGUGAAUACACACUGACCCAAUAAUUUGAUCAAUGGAAUAAGUUACACUAGGGGUAACAGUGCAAUCCUAUUCUAGAGUCCAUAGUGACAAUAGGGUUGACUACCUCGAUGUUGAAUCAGGACAUCCUAAUGGUGUAGCCACUAUUAAGGGUUUGUUUGUUCAAUGAUUAAAGUCCUACGUCAUCUGAAUUCAGACCAGAAUAAUCCAGGUCAGUUUCUGUCUAUUUAACAUUUCUCCUA
rnacentral:rRNA from 1 species